UACGUAGGGCGCAAGCGUUGUCCGGAAUUAUUGGGCGUAAAGAGCUCGUAGGCGGCUUGUCACGUCGGAUGUGAAAGCCCGGGGCUUAACCCCGGGUCGGCGGUGGAUACGGGCAGGCUAGAGGUAGGUAGGGGAGAAUGGAAUUCCCGGUGUAGCGGUGAAAUGCGCAGAUAUCGGGAGGAACACCGGUGGCGAAGGCGGUUCUCUGGGCCUUACCUGACGCUGAGGAGCGAAAGCGUGGGGAGCGAACAGG
rnacentral:rRNA from 1 species